rnacentral:lncRNA from 1 species
CAGUAUUGCAUCUUUCCUAAGCUGCUCAUGCAAGGGAAAGCCGAGCUUGCUCAAUCUUUCCAUCAGCUCGAUCAUGUAUAAUACAUGAUCAGUGACAGAGGCACCAUCCCGCAUUUUGGCGUUGAAGAUGGCACAACUAGUCUUGUGCCUCUCUACGUUAUCGGGUGUGCCAAAGGCAUCCUCCAACACUUGAAGCAUGUUCUUUGGCUGAGCCAUCUCGAAUCUGUGACUGAACUCAUCGCUCAUGGCAGCCAGCAUGAUACAGCGCACCGUGGUCCGAUCACUGAGCCACUUCUGGUAAGUGUCUCUGACUGUUCCACAUGCAUUGGCAGCUGGCUCCUCAGGUGCAGGAUCCAUUAUCACAUAUAGGAUCCGU